AUACGGAGGGUGCAAGCGUUAUUCGGAAUCACUGGGCGUAAAGGACGCGUAGGCGGGUUGGCAAGUCAGAUGUGAAAUCCUACAGCUUAACUGUAGAACUGCAUUUGAAACUGCUAACCUAGAGUAGGGGAGGGGGAGAUGGAAUUAGUGGUGUAGGGGUAAAAUCCGUAGAUAUCACUAGGAAUACCGAAAGCGAAGGCGAUCUCCUGGAACAUAACUGACGCUAAGGCGUGAAAGCGUGGGGAGCAAACAGGAUUAGAUACCCUUGUAGUCC
rnacentral:rRNA from 1 species